GGGUCAGUAGGUUGGUCGUGCCACCGGUACGUACUGGUCUCACUGAUUCCUCCUUCCUGAAGAACCGUAAUGCCAUUAAUUUGGUGAUGCGGGUAAACAGGACUGUUACUUUGAAAAAAUUAGAGUGUUUAAAGCAAGCUAACGCUUGAAUACAUUAGCAUGGAAUAAUGAAUUAGGACGAUCGAUCCUAUUUUGUUGGUUUCUAGGAUUGACGUA
rnacentral:rRNA from 1 species